rnacentral:rRNA from 1 species
UGCCAGCCGCCGCGGUAAUACGGAGGGGGUUAGCGUUGUUCGGAAUUACUGGGCGUAAAGCGUACGUAGGCGGAUUAUUAAGUGAGGGGUGAAAUCCCAGGGCUCAACCCUGGAACUGCCUCUCAUACUGGUAGUCUUGAGGUCGAGAGAGGUGAGUGGAAUUCCGAGUGUAGAGGCGAAAUUCGUAGAUAUCAGGAGGAACACCGAUGGCGAAGGCAGCUCACUGGCUCGGUACUGACGCUGAGGUGCGAAAGCGUGGGGAGCAGACAGGAUUAGAUA